rnacentral:rRNA from 1 species
UACGGAGGAGGCAAGCGUUAUCCGGAAUUAUUGGGUUUAAAGGGAGCGUAGGUGGCCUUAUAAGUCAGUGGUGAAAUCUCUGGGCUUAACCCAGAAAUUGCCAUUGAUACUGUAGGGCUUGAGUAUAGAUGCCGUUGGCGGAAUAUGACAUGUAGUGGUGAAAUACAUAGAGAUGUCAUAGAACACCGAUUGCGAAGGCAGCUAACGAAACUAUAACUGACACUGAGGCUCGAAAGUGUGGGGAUCAAACAGG